UACAAUAAUGUUGAGGUGAUGGUUCGGAGUGAUUUUACCCUAGGGUCCUUUGCACCAUGACCUUGAGCCAAACAACCCCCCAAAAGCUUCUUUCACCUGGUUGAACAAUGAGCGAGUUAGCUUUAUCAGCUGAUUAGCUUAGUUCAGGUGC